AUGUGUAUUCACAGAAUUUUUACAAUGUUGAUGUGUUUUAACUAUGCUGUAACCCGCCCGGAGCCACGAAGAGAGGCCCCUAUCGACAUAUUUUUAUGCUUACGCUUAAAGAGCCAUCAACUGUGGAAUGGAUUGUCCUGGAAGGUCUUUAGAGAUCAAGAAGAUAUUCACAUGUCCCUGAAUUAUUUUUCAUGUGCGCGCACACAUACCCACACACAUAUGGAGAUCUAUCCAAGCUCCUGUAUGUUGUGUGCUGAUGUCAGAAUGGGGCACAUGAAUGACCGGCAAGAAGGAAUGGAGAGUGCACAGUGGAUAGCAAAGCAGAAUGAAUGUGGUCCUGGCUCUCUGGGUUUUAUCUAG
rnacentral:lncRNA from 1 species